GAUGAACGCUGGCGGCGUGCUUAACACAUGCAAGUCGAACGGAAAGGCUCCUGCUUGCAGGGGUACUCGAGUGGCGAACGGGUGACUAACACGUGGGUGAUCUGCCCUGCACUUCGGGAUAAGCCUGGGAAACUGGGUCUAAUACCGGAUAGGACGAUGGUUUGGAUGCCAUUGUGGAAAGUUUUUUCGGUGUGGGAUGAGCUCGCGGCCUAUCAGCUUGUUGGUGGGGUAAUGGCCUACCAAGGCGUCGACGGGUAGCCGGCCUGAGAGGGUGUACGGCCACAUUGGGACUGAGAUACGGCCCAGACUCCUACGGGAGGCAGCAGUGGGGAAUAUUGCACAAUGGGCGCAAGCCUGAUGCAGCGACGCCGCGUGGGGGAUGACGGCCUUCGGGUUGUAAACUCCUUUCGCUAGGGACGAAGCGCAAGUGACGGUACCUGGAGAAGAAGCACCGGCUAACUACGUG
rnacentral:rRNA from 1 species